UACGUAGGGUGCAAGCGUUGUCCGGAAUUAUUGGGCGUAAAGAGCGUGUAGGCGGCUUGAUUAGUCUGCUGUGAAAGUCCAGGGCUCAACCCUGGAAUGCCGGUGGAUACUGUCAAGCUAGAGUCCGGAAGGGGCGAGUGGAAUUCCUGGUGUAGCGGUGAAAUGCGCAGAUAUCAGGAGGAACACCAACGGCGAAGGCAGCUCGCUGGGACGGUACUGACGCUGAGACGCGAAAGCGUGGGGAGCGAACAGG
rnacentral:rRNA from 1 species